rnacentral:tRNA from 1 species
GUGGGGGUACCGAAGUCUGGUCAAACGAGCUAGACUCAAGAUCUAGUCCCUUAGUGGGUUCAGGGGUUCGAAUCCCCUCCCCCACA